rnacentral:rRNA from 1 species
AACUCGCUGUGAAGAUGCAGUGUACCCGCGGCAAGACGGAAAGACCCCGUGAACCUUUACUAUAGCUUGACACUGAACAUUGAGCCUUGAUGUGUAGGAUAGGUGGGAGGCUUUGAAGUGUGGACGCCAGUCUGCAUGGAGCCGACCUUGAAAUACCACCCUUUAAUGUUUGAUGUUCUAACGUUGACCCGUAAUCCGGGUUGCGGACAGUGUCUGGUGGGUAGUUUGACUGGGGCGGUCUCCUCCUAAAGAGUAACGGAGGAGCACGAAGGUUGGCUAAUCCUGGUCGGACAUCAGGAGGUUAGUGCAAUGGCAUAAGCCAGCUUGACUGCGAGCGUGACGGCGCGAGCAGGUGCGAAAGCAGGUCAUAGUGAUCCGGUGGUUCUGAAUGGAAGGGCCAUCGCUCAACGGAUAAAAGGUACUCCGGGGAUAACAGGCUGAUACCGCCCAAGAGUUCAUAUCGACGGCGGUGUUUGGCACCUCGAUGUCGGCUCAUCACAUCCUGGGGCUGAAGUAGGUCCCAAGGGUAUGGCUGUUCGCCAUUUAAAGUGGUACGCGAGCUGGGUUUAGAACGUCGUGAGACAGUUCGGUCCCUAUCUGCCGUGGGCGCUGGAGAAUUGAGGGGGGCUGCUCCUAGUACGAGAGGACCGGAGUGGACGCAUCACUGGUGUUCGGGUUGUCAUGCCAAUGGCACUGCCCGGUAGCUAAAUGCGGAAGAGAUAAGUGCUGAAAGCAUCUAAGCACGAAACUUGCCCCGAGAUGAGUUCUCCCUGACUCCUUGAGAGUCCUGAAGGAACGUUGAAGACGACGACGUUGAUAGGCCGGGUGUGUAAGCGCAGCGAUGCGUUGAGCUAACCGGUACUAAUGAACCGUGAGGCUUAACCUUACAACGCCGAAG